rnacentral:misc_RNA from 1 species
UCCGGUUUGUCACCGGCAGUCCCAUUAGAGUGCUCAACUUAAUGUAGCAACUAAUGGCAAGGGUUGCGCUCGUUGCGGGACUUAACCCAACAUCUCACGACACGAGCUGACGACAGCCAUGCAGCACCUGUGUGACCAUUCUCUUGCGAGCACACUUCCAUCUCUGAAAGCUCUGAUCCAUGUCAAGGGUAGGUAAGGUUUUUCGCGUUGCAUCGAAUUAAUCCACAUCAUCCACCGCUUGUGCGGGUCCCCGUCAAUUCCUUUGAGUUUUAAUCUUGCGACCGUACUCCCCAGGCGGGAUGCUUAAUGCGUUAGCUGCGCCACUGAAGAGCAAGCUCCCCAACGGCUAGCAUCCAUCGUUUACAGCGUGGACUAC